UACGUAGGGGGCGAGCGUUGUCCGGAGUUACUGGGCGUAAAGCGCACGCAGGCGGUCCUCUGCGUAGAGGGUGACAGUCCUCGGCUUAACUGAGGAAGCGCUCUUUAAACGGGGGGACUUGAGGGCCAGAGAGGGAGACGGAACUCCGGGUGGAGCGGUGAAAUGCGUAGAGAUCCGGAAGAACACCGAAGGCGAAGGCAGUCUCCUGGCUGGUUCCUGACGCUCAGGUGCGAAAGCUAGGGGAGCAAACAGG
rnacentral:rRNA from 1 species